GGGCUCUUAGCUCAGUUGGUUAGAGCGCUACCUUGACAUGGUAGAGGCCACAGGUUCGAAUCCUGUAGAGCCCA
rnacentral:tRNA from 1 species